AUGAAUUUCAACAGAGAUGGCAAG
rnacentral:piRNA from 2 species